rnacentral:lncRNA from 12 species
CAAACUGACAAUGCAGAGGUCAAUUUCUUAGAUUUCUGCUAGGUUUAGAUGUGUGCAAGUUCACCCCCAUGUCAUCCUUUGAGGAAAGCAGGGAAGUUAUUAUU